rnacentral:tRNA from 1 species
ACAAUGGUGGUGCGGUGGUAGAAUCCUCACUUUCCAUGUGAGAGACCCAGGUUUGAUUCCCGGCCGAUGCA